ensembl:lncRNA
GUGGAAACGGAUGUCUGUGUUUCAUGGGACUGAAAUGUUUGUUAAUUUGGACUCAAAUGUUUUCAAAGACGCAAGACUUUGAAACUAAAAUACAUAUAUUUAUAAUUUGUAUGCACCUAUGUAAUGUUUCAUACCAUCUGCCUUUAGUUUUGUGGGAGCGGGCAGUUCUACAGUCGGUUAUAAGUGGUUGGUGGGGAUUUCACAGAGGAUAACCAAAACUCUGGCCUGCCCAGGACUUCUGAACACUGGGUACCAGCGUACAAUGCAUGGUGUUGUACUGGCUGCUUGCUGAGAAUUGUGGAGCCUGCCUUGGUGAGAGGAUUGCACUACCAGCAUACCCUUUUGUACAUGUUUGACAAUGUCUUGCCCCCAGUUUCCUAUAUUGUACAUACAAAGAUAAUGCAGACAGGGAAGGACUCACACACACUUACACACACAGAAACACAUGAACCCCUCGACAGGCAACUGUGGUUAACCGGUGUGCCCCAGUAUGAGCCACAACUCAUUUUGUGUGAAAAUAUUUUGCUCGUUUCAGCUCUAACCCUCUUCCAUGUUUCCCCUCAACACACUGCUGCGGUUUGGAGUUGAUUUUUAAGUCUGCUGUCACUUUCAAUAUGCUAUAUCUAAUGAUUUAAGGGUUAGUUGUCUUAACUGUCUGUUUGUUUGUUUAUGGUGCAAUAUCUCCUAACGGCACGUGCCUUUUAGCUUCCUAUUUAGUCUGUCAAUGAAAUCAGCAACGAGGAUGUCGAAAACCCAUGGGGGUGAAUUAUAAUGGAGCACGAUAGAGCAAUGUAUUGAGUUCAAAAAUUAACUUGUAAGCUGUAAACACACCACCUAGAUUAGACUGUCUGGACUAACAUCUUUUAGAGUCAUGUAGUACAAGUGCUCUCUCUGUGUGUUCUGUUUACCGGCUCUUGGGCUAGUAAAGGGAACGGCUUGCCUUCUGUUUUUUCUUUCUGUUCAUUUUCCAAAUGUUGGUUUAACAAUCGUAUAUGAGGCCAUUCUUUUGUAGCAUGACUGAGAUAAAUUUCUUUUCUUUUCUGAAAAUAGGCAAACUGAAAAAAUAAAAUCUUUUGACUGUCAUUAUCUCUUGCCACCAAAAGUCAGAGAGAAGACGUGUGUUGCGCAACCAAAUGGGACGAUUAAAUGAGAGUCAGUCAAAGAAUAUCUUCAUUUGAGCACGAAUCUAUUUCCAAACAAUAAAGCAGCCUUCCAG